rnacentral:rRNA from 1 species
AGUGGCGGACGGGUGAGUAACGCGUGAGAAUCUGCCUUGGGGUCGGGGACAACCACUGGAAACGGUGGCUAAUACCGGAUAAGCCGAUUGGUGAAAGAUUUAUUGCCCGAAGAGGAGCUCGCGUCUGAUUAGCUAGUUGGUGAGGUAAGAGCUCACCAAGGCAGCGAUCAGUAGCUGGUCUGAGAGGACGAUCAGCCACACUGGGACUGAGACACGGCCCAGACUCCUACGGGAGGCAGCAGUGGGGAAUUUUCCGCAAUGGGCGAAAGCCUGACGGAGCAAGACCGCGUGAGGGAGGAAGGCUCUUGGGUUGUAAACCUCUUUUCUCAGGGAAGAAGCCUGACGGUACCUGAGGAAUCAGCCUCGGCUAACUCCGUGCCAGCAGCCGCGGUAAUACGGAGGAGGCAAGCGUUAUCCGGAAUUAUUCGGCGUAAAGCGUCCGCAGGUGGCGAUUCAAGUCUGCUGUCAAAGCACGGGGCUUAACUCCGUAAAGGCAGUGGAAACUGAAUAGCUAGAGUGCCGUAGGGGUAGAGGGAAUUCCCGGUGUAGCGGUGAAAUGCGUAGAGAUCGGGAAGAACAUCGGUGGCGAAAGCGCUCUACUGGACGGCAACUGACACUCAGGGACGAAAGCUAGGGGAGCGAAUGGGAUUAGAUACCCC